AGCGGCGGACGGGUGAGUAAUGUCUGGGAAACUGCCUGAUGGAGGGGGAUAACUACUGGAAACGGUAGCUAAUACCGCAUACCAUCAGAUGUGCCCAGAUGGGAUUAGCUAGUAGGUGGGGUAACGGAUCACCUAGGCGACGAUCCCUAGCUGGUUUUAGAGUGUGACCAGCCCCACUGGCACUGAGACACGGUCAAGACCCCUACGGUAGGCAGCAUUGUGGAAUAUUGCACAAUGGGCUCAAGCCUGAUGCAGCCAUGCCGCUUGUGUGAAGAAGGCCUUCGGGUUGUAAAGCACUUUCAGCGUGGAGGCGUUACCCGCAGAAGAAGCACCGGCUAACGCCGUGCCAGCAGCCGCGGUAAUUC
rnacentral:rRNA from 1 species